rnacentral:rRNA from 1 species
GACGAACGCUGGCGGCGUGCUUAACACAUGCAAGUCGAACGGAAAGGCCUCUUUCGGGGGGUACUCGAGUGGCGAACGGGUGAGUAACACGUGAGUAACCUGCCCUUGACUUUGGGAUAACUUCAGGAAACUGGGGCUAAUACCGGAUAGGAGCUCCUGCUGCAUGGUGGGGGUUGGAAAGUUUCGGCGGUUGGGGAUGGACUCGCGGCUUAUCAGCUUGUUGGGGGGGGAGUGGCUUACCAAGGCUUUGACGGGUAGCCGGACUGAGAGGGUGAGCGGCCACAUUGGGACUGAGAUACGGCCCAGACUCCUACGGGAGGCAGCAGUGGGGAAUAUUGCACAAUGGGUGGAAGCCGGAUGCAGCAACGCCGUGGGCGGGAUGACGGCCUUCGGGUUGUAAACCGCUUUCGCUCAUGACGAAGCUUUGUGUGACGGUAGUGGGUAAAGAAGCACCGGCUAACUACGUG